GCUUUAAAGUCUAAAUUUAUUAAGUAAAACAAAGUAACAUCAGAGAUAAAACAUUUGGCUUAAUUCCAAUGUGACCAAUGUCCAUUUUCAGCAGGGAAGACUCCAAGGGAAGAAGGUGCAUUGUGGUGUCACACUGCCAGUCAGGGUCAGUCAGUACAGGAGAAACUCAAUGUUUACUGAGCAGGACUAACACUAAGCACAGGACUGUCAGGGAGGAGAGAACCAGAACAUUCUGACAACCAGGUGCAGCAGGCAGGCUGGAGGGCAGCAGACAGGGCAGGUCCUCUCGAUCACUUGGGGAACACUGUGACCACAUCAUAGC
rnacentral:lncRNA from 1 species